rnacentral:rRNA from 1 species
UACGUAGGUGGCAAGCGUUGUCCGGAUUUACUGGGCGUAAAGGGCUCGUAGGCGGUCUGUCGCGUCGGGAGUGAAAACUUACAGCUUAACUGUGAGCGUGCUUCCGAUACGGGCAGACUUGAGGUAUUCAGGGGAGAACGGAAUUCCUGGUGUAGCGGUGAAAUGCGCAGAUAUCAGGAGGAACACCGGUGGCGAAGGCGGUUCUCUGGGAAUAUCCUGACGCUGAGGAGCGAAAGUGUGGGGAGCGAACAGG